rnacentral:rRNA from 1 species
UACGGGGGGGGUAAGCGUUGUUCGGAAUUACUGGGCGUAAAGGGCUCGUAGGCGGACAACUAAGUCGGACGUGAAAUCCCUCAGCUUAACUGGGGAACUGCGUCCGAUACUGGAUGGCUUGGAUUUGGGAGAGGGAUGCGGAAUUCCAGGUGUAGCGGUGAAAUGCGUAGAUAUCUGGAGGAACACCGGUGGCGAAGGCGACAUCCUGGACCGGUAUUGACGCUGAGGCGCGAAAGCCAGGGGAGCAAACGGG